AUACGGAGGAUGCAAGCGUUAUCCGGAUUUAUUGGGUUUAAAGGGUGCGUAGGCUGUUCGGAAAGUCAGGGGUGAAAGCCCGGCGCCUAACGCCGGAACUGCCCUUGAUACUUCCGAGCUGGAAUACGGAUGCCGUGGGAGGAAUGAGUAGUGUAGCGGUGAAAUGCAUAGAUAUUACUCAGAACACCGAUUGCGAAGGCAUCUCACGAAUCCGUCAUUGACGCUGAGGCACGAAAGCGUGGGGAUCAAACAGGAUUAGAUACCCUGGUAGUCCACGCAGUAAACGAUGAUGACUAACCGUCGGCGAUACACAGUCGGUGGCCAAGCGAAAGCGAUAAGUCAUCCACCUGGGGAGUACGUUCGCAAGGCUGAAACUCAAAUGAAUUGACGGGG
rnacentral:rRNA from 1 species